GCCAAUCCUGAAGCUUCUUCAAACUCCUUCAAAACAAGGAGAACAUUUUGCACAGAGGACACAGAUCCAUCAACAAAAAUCAAAAGGUCAUCAGCAAAACACAAGUGCGUAAGCUUUAGAUUCUUGCAUUUAUGGUGAUAAUUUAUUUUUCCUUCCUCUGCAGCUUUAUCCAACAUGACUGAGAGACAAUUCAUAACCAGAACAAAGAGAUAAGGUGAAAGCGGGUCACCCUGCCGCAGACAUCUACAACCCGUAAAGUAACCAUGUACACUUCCAUUAAAGCCCACUGAGAAAGAAGGAGUACAGAUGCAUGCUUUAAGCCACCGCAGUUUGAUUUUUUUGCACUAAGUUGGGAAGAGCAGGCUUGAUUCUAGAGACAAGCAGCUUAGAUAUUACUUUAUAUAGGGUAUUUGAGCAAGAAAUAGGUCUUAAGUCAGAGACCAGGAAAGCACUAGAGGAUUUAGGGACCAGGGCAAGUAUAGUUGCAUUAACCGCUGAAGGAAGAAAAGCAGUUUGGAAGAAUGCCAAGAUACUGAAGCUCUGUAGGACACCGAUAGCUUAUGAGGUUCUGAAUCCAAGAAGUGGAUAUGGGAAGGGGUUGCAUAAAGGCAGGGCCAAGAAGAGACUGAAAAUGGUUGACAGCCAUUCUACUCAUCUCCAGUGGAUCUACGAUCAAAGUGCCAAACAAAGAGGUGAAUGACCUGAUAGCAUUAAAGGCGUUUCUAAUCUGGGUCAUUCUAUGGAAAUAAGUCGUGUUCAAGUCUCCUUCAUGCAACCAGUUAAUGCGAGACCUCUGUCUAGAAUAAGCUUCUUCAACUUUGCGGAAAAAUUCCCAUUUAGUACGCAACUCUCUUUCUUUUUGGAACAAGUCAUUUGAUGGAGAGUCCAUGGCUUGAACCUGCACAGAUUGAAG